rnacentral:piRNA from 2 species
UUAGACUUUAUGGACUUGAGAAAAAU